GACGAACGCUGGCGGCGUGCUUAACACAUGCAAGUCGAACGGAAAGGCCUGCUUUCCCUUGUGGAUUGCGGGUACUCGAGUGGCGAACGGGUGAGUAACACGUGAGUGAUCUGCCCCCAACUUGGGUAUAAGCCUGGGAAACUGGGUCUAAUUCCCGAUAGGACUGCAGGGUGGUGCCUGUGGUGGAAAACGAUUUUCUAGUGGUUGGGGAUGAGCUCGCGGCCUAUCAGCUUGUUGGUGGGGUAAUGGCCUACCAAGGCGGCGACGGGUAGCCGGCCGGGGAGGGUGGACGGCCACAUUGGGACUGAGAUACGGCCCAGACUCCUACGGGAGGCAGCAGUGGGGAAUAUUGCACAAUGGGCGGAAGCCUGAUGCAGCGACGCCGCGUGGGGGAUGACGGCCUUCGGGUUGUAAACUCCUUUCGACCGCGAGGAAGCCACCUGGUUGGAAGGGUGGUGACGGUAGUGGUAGAAGAAGCACCGGCUAACUACGUG
rnacentral:rRNA from 1 species